rnacentral:lncRNA from 1 species
AUCAUGCCCAAGGAAGCAGCAUGGCCAGGCAGCCAGACCCAAAUGAGGUGGAGGAGUGAGGUCAAGGCAUAGAGUCUUCGACUUCAGCAACCUUCGCAGUGCGUUUGACAGCAGUAGUUGAGAGUCUAAUGCAGCCUAAGAGGCUAUAUCCUUGAAGUAGGGAAGGAUCAGAUCAUAAGGAAUAAUUUCAGCUGCCCUUUCUCCAUCAUCCUAAUCCAACUAUGGCCUGCAUUACCAGCCAGAGAGGUAAGUAGCA